rnacentral:rRNA from 1 species
CAAAAAUCCGCCGGGCUUAGAUGAGGGGUGAUAACGAGGCUGCUUGCAGCCGAAGUGAGUGAUACCCUGCUUCCAGGAAAAGCCACUAAGCUUCAGCUAUACACGACCGUACCGCAAACCGACACUGGUGCGCGAGAUGAGUAUUCUAAGGCGCUUGAGAGAACUCAGGAGAAGGAACUCGGCAAAUUGACACCGUAACUUCGGAAGAAGGUGUGCCUUUAGUAGGUGAACCUGUACAAGGGGAGCCCAAUGAGGUUGCAAAAAAUCGGUGGCUGCGACUGUUUAUUAAAAACACAGCACUCUGCAAACACGAAAGUGGACGUAUAGGGUGUGACGCCUGCCCGGUGCUGGAAGAUUAAAUGAUGGGGUGCAAGCUCUUGAUUGAAGUCCCAGUAACCGGCGGCCGUAACAAUAACGGUCCUAAGGUAGCGAAAUUCCUUGUCGGGUAAGUUCCGACCUGCACGAAUGGCGUAACGAUGGCCACACUGUCUCCUCCUGAGACUCAGCGAAGUUGAAAUGUUUGUGAUGAUGCAAUCUCCCCGCGGAAAGACGGAAAGACCCCAUGAACCUUUACUGUAGCUUUGUAUUGGACUUUGAACAGAUCUGUGUAGGAUAGGUGGGAGGCUUUGAAGCAGGGUCGCUAGAUCUUGUGGAGCCAACGUUGAAAUACCACCCUGGUGUGUUUGAGGUUCUAACCUAGGUCCAUUAUCUGGAUCGGGGACAGUGCAUGGUAGGCAGUUUGACUGGGGCGGUCUCCUCCCAAAGCGUAACGGAGGAGUUCGAAGGUACGCUAGUUACGGUCGGACAUCGUGACGAUAGUGCAAUGGCAUAAGCGUGCUUAACUGCGAGACUGACAAGUCGAGCAGAUGCGAAAGCAGGACAUAGUGAUCCGGUGGUUCUGUAUGGAAGGGCCAUCGCUCAACGGAUAAAAGGUACUCUGGGGAUAACAGGCUGAUACCGCCCAAGAGUUCAUAUCGACGGCGGUGUUUGGCACCUCGAUGUCGGCUCAUCUCAUCCUGGGGCUGUAGCCGGUCCCAAGGGUAUGGCUGUUCGCCAUUUAAAGAGGUACGUGAGCUGGGUUUUAAAACGUCGUGAGACAGUUUGGUCCCUAUCUUCCGUGGGCGCUGCAGAUUUGAGGAAGCCUGCUCCUAGUACGAGAGGACCGGAGUGGACAUACCUCUGGUGUAUCGGUUGUCACGCCAGUGGCAUUGCCGAGUAGCUAAGUAUGGAAGAGAUAAACGCUGAAAGCAUCUAAGCGUGAAACUCGUUUCAAGAUGAGAUCUGCCGGGGCCUUGAGCCCCCUAAAGAGUCGUUCAAGACCAGGACGUUGAUAGGUCAGGUGUGGAAGCGCAGUAAUGCGUUAAGCUAACUGAUACUAAUUGCUCGUGCGGCUUGACCC